rnacentral:rRNA from 1 species
AUUGAACGCUGGCGGCAGGCCUAACACAUGCAAGUCGAGCGGAUGAGGAGUGCUUGCACUCCGAUUCAGCGGCGGACGGGUGAGUAAUGCCUAGGAAUCUGCCCGAUAGUGGGGGACAACGUUUCGAAAGGAACGCUAAUACCGCAUACGUCCUACGGGAGAAAGUGGGGGCUCUUCGGACCUCACGCUAUCGGAUGAGCCUAGGUCGGAUUAGCUAGUUGGUGGGGUAAAGGCCCACCAAGGCGACGAUCCGUAACUGGUCUGAGAGGAUGAUCAGUCACACUGGAACUGAGACACGGUCCAGACUCCUACGGGAGGCAGCAGUGGGGAAUAUUGGACAAUGGGCGAAAGCCUGAUCCAGCCAUGCCGCGUGUGUGAAGAAGGUCUUCGGAUUGUAAAGCACUUUAAGUUGGGAGGAAGGGCUGUAAGUUAAUACCUUGCAGUUUUGACGUUACCGACAGAAUAAGCACCGGCUAACUUCGUGCCAGCCGCCGCAGUAA